rnacentral:piRNA from 1 species
UCCAGAGCACUGCCACGAGUUGAGUGU